CCUUCUACUUGUGUUAGUUGAAUACUUGAUUAACAAGUUAUCUGGAUAGAUUUUAUAAGGGUUAUAUGACAAAUACAUUUCUAGCACCAAAGGAUAGUAUGAAAAAAAAAAAAAAAAAAGAAGUAGAUAUUUUAUUGUGGUCCCCUGCCAUCUAUUAUUUUAAGAGCAUUCUACAUGGUGAAUUGCUUCGAGGAGACCAAAAUGCCAAUUUUUAUUUAAGUUUAUUUCCUAACUAUUGU
rnacentral:lncRNA from 1 species